rnacentral:lncRNA from 1 species
CUCUACACCAGGUAGACAGGGAGAUCUCUACACCAGGUACACAGGGAGAUCUCUACACCUGGUAGACAGGGAGACCUCUACACCUGGUACACAGGGAGAUCUCUACACCAGGUACCCAGGGAGAUCUCUACACCUGGUAGACAGGGAGAUCUCUACACCUGGUAGACAGGGAGAUCUCUACACCAGGUAGACAGGGAGAUCUCUACACCUGGUAGACAGGGGGAUCUCUACACCUGGUAGACAGGGAGAUCUCUACACCAGGUUGGGAGGGAG